CCGUUUAGGGGUAAACCUGAGAAACCCGAAAGGUCGAAGGGAGAAAUUCAUUCGCGUUUCGCCGUUGGCGUGAGACGGUCGUGCGACGGAAAACGUUCGCGUUUUCCGCACCUUCCGUUUUUCGAUCCGGCAGCGAACGCGUGCACUUUUCUCCUGGUAGGACGUCGCGAUCCGUUGAGUGUCGGUCUACGGCUCGCGGUGGAGCCCGCACGUACGGCUUCGGUCGUCACGUACGGACCCGCGUGUCCCGGCUGACUCGCUCGACGGUAUACGAAAGGUUUAAGGCCGCUCUUCACAGUGAGCGUUCGACUCGUCGCAAGCGCGUCAGAUGUUUGUCGGUGAUCGGACCUGGUGCCGGUUCUGACCUCUGGCGACUGUUGGUGACGAAGUUCUCGAACAGACUUUUGACCGAUCUGCGACGCUAUAGCUUUGGGUACUUUCAGGACCCGUCUUGAAACACGGACCAAGGAGUCUAGCAUGUGCGCGAGUCAUUGGGAAUCACUAAACCUAAAGGCGCAAUGAAAGUAAAGGUUCGCCUCGCGCGAACCGAGGGAGGACGGGCGGUUCGCCCUUAAAAGCGACCGCUCCGCACUCCCGGGGCGUCUCAUUCUCAUCGCGAGAAGAGGCGCACCAAGAGCGUACACGCUGGGACCCGAAAGAUGGUGAACUAUGCCUGGUCAGGACGAAGUCAGGGGAAACCCUGAUGGAGGUCCGUAGCGAUUCUGACGUGCAAAUCGAUCGUCGGAACUGGGUAUAGGGGCGAAAGACUAAUCGAACCAUC
rnacentral:rRNA from 1 species